CCAGCGUCAGAGCCGGUGGCAGUGGUGUUUCCUGUUGACGGAACCGAAGGCCAUGGGCAGUCAAGAGGUGCUGGGCCAGGCGGCCCGGCUGGCCACCUCCGGUCUCCUCUUGCAGGUGUUGUUUCGAUUGAUGACCUUUGUCUUGAAUGCAUUUAUUCUUCGCUUCCUAUCGAAGGAAAUUGUCGGCAUAGUGAAUGUAAGACUAACACUACUUUACUCUACCACUGUCUUCUUGGCCAGAGAGGCCUUCCGCAAAGCUUGUCUGAGUGGAGGUGCCCAGCGGGAUUGGAGCCAGACCCUCAACCUCCUAUGGCUAACAGUCCCAUUAGGUGUGUUUUGGUCCUUAUUCCUGGGCUGGGUCUGGCUGAAGUUGCUUGAAGUACCUGAUCCUGAUGUGGUCCCCCACUAUGGAACUGGAGUGGUGUUGUUUGGUCUCUCAGCAGUGGUGGAACUUCUAGGAGAGCCCUUCUGGGUCUUGGCACAAGCACAUAUGUUCAUCAGGCUCAAGGUGAUUGCUGAGAGCUUGUCAGUAAUCCUCAGGAGUGUCCUCAUAGCUUUGCUUGUGCUGUGGUUGCCUCACUUGGGACUGUACAUCUUCUCUUUGGCCCAGCUUUUUUAUACUGCAGUUUUGGUGCUUUGUUAUGUAUUUUAUUUCACAAAGUUACUGAGUUCCCCAGAAUCAAUCAGGCAACAAACUCUUCCUGUCUCCAGAAUAACAGAUCUGUUACCCAGUGUUACAGGAAGCAGAGCUUUUGUAAAUUGGAAAGAGGCUAAAUUGACUUGGAGUUUUUUCAAACAGUCUUUCUUGAAACAAAUUUUGACAGAAGGUGAGCGAUAUGUGAUGACAUUUUUUAACAUAUUAAAUUUUGGCGACCAGGGUGUAUAUGAUAUAGUCAAUAAUCUCGGGUCCCUUGUGGCAAGGUUAAUUUUCCAGCCAGUAGAGGAAAGUUUUUAUUUGUUCUUUGCUAAGGUGCUGGAGAGGGAAAAGGAUGCCACACUUCAGAAGCAGGAGGACAUUGCUGUCGCCGCUGCGGUUUUGGAGUCCCUGCUUAAGCUGGCCCUGCUGGCUGGCCUGACCAUCACUGUUUUUGGCUUUGCCUAUUCUCACCUGGCUCUAGAUAUUUAUGGAGGGACCAUGCUUAGCUCGGGAUCAGGUCCUGUUUUGCUGCGUUCCUAUUGUCUCUAUGUCCUCCUGCUUGCCAUCAAUGGAGUAACCGAGUGCUUCACGUUUGCAGCCAUGAGUAAAGAGGAGGUCGACAGGUACAAUUUCAUGAUGCUGGCACUGUCAUCCUCAUUCCUGGUGUUGUCCUAUCUCCUGACCCGUUGGUGUGGCAGCGUGGGCUUCAUCUUGGCCAAUUGCUUUAACAUGGGCAUUCGGAUCACGCAGAGCCUUUGCUUCAUCCACCACUACUACCUUGGGAGCCCCCACAAGCCUCUGGCAGGCCUGCACCUGACACCCACCCUCUUUGGGGUAUUUGCCCUCGCUGGUGGGAUUACUGGUAUUUCAGAGGUGUUCCUCUGCUGUGACCGGGGCUGGCCUGCCAGGCUGGCGCACAUUGCUGUGGGAGUGUUCUGCUUAGGAGUGACUCUGGGGACAGCAUUCCUCACCGAGACCAAGCUCAUCCACUUUCUGAGGACUCAGUUGGGUGUGUCCAGACUCACUGGCAAAAUGACAUGACUUCAGGGGCCUUUGGCACUGGACCAGUGGGGCCAUUUCUUGCGCCGAGCACAUUGCUGUGCAAAAGCCCAGCCAAGGGGUCUGCAGUGGAGCGAGAGCCACCCAGUAGGCUCCUUGCACCCCACAGGUGAGAGUGUCAGGCAUUAUCCUGGAGAAAAUAGCCAAAGGCAUGGCGUCCUGAGCCAUCAGACGUGAUCCAGAGCAUGGCCUUGGUCACGCCUUUGCUGGGCGGGGCCGGGCCAUCGCCGAAAAACAGAAUGGCCCGAGUGCACAGGAAUGGACCUUCGGUCCUGCACAAGUUCCUCCUCUCCUGCUGCUGACCACGCCUCGCUUCCUCCCUCCUCUCCCUCAGGACCUCUGCACCCCCCUCUACUCACCACACCACAACUCAAAGUGUGGUCCUUGCAUGGUCACUUGGAUGGUAAGGCAUGCGCGGCCUUGCACUUCUGAAGGAACCACGAGGUUCCUGCUCUCAGGUAGAAGCCCUGUGUCUGAUAGUGUGGCUCGUCCUCUUUUCUCUCCAUGCUACCCACUGGGUGCUGCUCUCCGGGUUUGCUUCUCUUGAACGAUGGGGACCCCUGCCCAGGACCCUCUCCCAUGUCCUGGUUUCCCGUUUCUAGGACAGGUCAUGCCACGGCCAUGUUUUCCACUGCUAGUACCUGCUUCCCUGAUCAUCAGCACCUUCGCCACAGCCCUCCUCAGUUCUCUGUCCCUGGCAGCCUCCCUGAAGCCACGGCCUCCGGUACUUCCCCUGCCACGCCCCCAGCAGCCUUGGGGCACUUUUGUGCAGUGGGUCAGGCUGCCUCACUUUAUGCAAGAAAGAUUUGGGGGACAGUCACACUCCUGGUUUCAAGUACCAUUGAAAAUAUAGUGAGGCUACUUCUCCAUGGGAACAAGCCUGUAAGGCACAUCCUUUUGUUUUUAUUUUAUUUAUUUACUUUGGGAUUUUUCAGAUAAGGUCUUACUAUGUAGUUCAGUUGAACUCACUUCGUAAGCCAGGCUGGCCUCGAGCUUGUGCCAGUCCUCCUGCCUCAGCCUCCUGAGUACUAGGAUUACAGGCGUGCCCCACCAUGCUCGGCAGCACGUAUUCUUACAACAGGAAGAAGCCUUUGGUGGCAAGAAUAAGAGUGUGCUAACUUUCUGCACUCCCCUGGCCACAUGGAAGCUCAGUCACUUCGGAGCUGACCUGGGCUCCCUCGGUGGGAACAUUCCAUGCUGCACUGUGCUCGCUCUGCAGCAACCCUCAGCUCUAGAGGUGCUGCCCGCCCUGCCCUGUUCCUGCCACUUCCCAGCCUGAUGCAAGUAUGGCCCUUCCUUCCUCCUGCCUGUUUUCCUUAAUCACGUGUUCAUAUUGCUAGUUUCAUGUUGGUCGCCUGGUUUAAAAAGAAAUUAAACUAUCUUCUUCACAUUCUUGUAAUGAUCUCCCUCCUUUUGUGCCUCCUUCCAGAGUGAAUCACAAAUUUCAUAGAGAAGGUGGGCAGAUGGCUCAAGUCUGUACUGUUUGAAAUCCUUACAGGGUCAUCUCUUCCUAUGUAGGUGUUGCAGCUAGGGAUUGUGGCUCCUGAUUUUGGAUCAGGGAAUGGUGGCCCGGAGCCUUCCUGCCUGGGACUGAGUUACCGGAGGGUCUCUCACUUCUCUUCUUAUCCUAAGCAGUGUUUCCCAUUUGUUUGUUUGUUUCUUUGCAGUACUGAGGAUCCAACUGAGGACCUUGCGCUUUUGAGGCAUGGUGCCACUGAGCUAAAUCCCCAGCCAUCCCCCCAUUGUUUAUUAUACUUUUCCUGCUCCAAUCUUCUCCAUCUGGCCUGGUCUUUGUCUUGGUUGCUUUUUAUUAAGCAGACCUUCCUGGAUGGGUCAGGACAAGUUCCCAUGCAGAACAGAGAAGCUGUUGUAGGAGACCUGCAACAGCCCCUCUACCCUUCUGUCUUCUUCAGUCAGGUGGUAGGAUUUUCUUUCAGUGGGCUCAUAGUCUUUUAUACCAGAAUUAGAGGAUCCUGGAAGUGCAGAUCCUACAAAGGAAGGCUCAGUGACUCAUUAAUCCUAAGACACACUAACUUCAGCAGGGAAUCUCUGUCUCUGACUGUCUGUCUGUCACCCACCCUCUCUCAGCCUCAGUCCUGAAGUUGAACCUAGGGCCUCACACAUGCUCCGCAAGUACUCUGUCUCUGAGCUUCAGCCCCAGUCCUCAUUGGGGUUCUAGCCGUGAUUUGGAGGAAGAGACUGGAACUGGGACCAUCCAGAACCUGCAGAGCAUGGACCCAGGGGAGAACCUGGGGAUACCCAGAAGGUAGGAUUGCCAAGGGCUGGGUGUGGCCUCUAAGCUGGAUGUAAUUGUGUCCAGCCAAGGAGUCAGAAGGAAUACGGUCCCUAGCCCAGUCUUGGAAGAGCUGUGAAUGAAAACAGGCUGUCCCUGGGUAGGAAGAGAAGAGGAAGCACAGGGGAAACCUUUCACACCGUUAUAAACCUCUACUCCUUAGGGAGACCAAGGAGAGGCAGAGGGUGACCUUUUGGCACUGAUGGCCAAGUGAGGAGGGAGUACCCAGGAGCCUGGUCUCCUGGACCUGGGGAACAGUCUCAGAAUGUUCUUCACAUGAGCUUCUCGGGGUCCUUAAGGGAGAGUUGUGGACAGCAAAGUGGAAGGCAGAACAGAGCCUGUCAGAUGGGUCAGAUAUGGAAAGAACAGCCAUGGCACGGUGUCAGGGCCCCCCUACCCCGGAAACUUCUUCAGACAAUAAAAUAUGACUGGAAAAAACAGCUGAACAAAACCACUAAAAUACAGAUUUUAUUUGCUGAUUACUCCCUGAGUGUCACCAAGGAACUGGAACUGUGUUUUUAAUUUAGAAAUGAGUCUUCUGGGCCAAUAAGAGAUGCAGAUGAAAAAUGGUUUGUUUUACUGUCAUUUACUGUACCUGGGUGAAUAACCCCCUUUUAUUUUUAUUUUGGGUUUCUCAUAUCAGAGAAACCAUGCAAUACUUAAGCUGUGUCUGAUUUAUUUCACCUCACAUUAUGUAUAUUAUUAGUGUGUGUUUGCAGUACAGAACAGUGAUGUUUUGGGAAAUUUAUAUAUAUAUUACAUCUUGAUCAUUUUCAAUCCCUUUACCCACCCUCCUUUACCUCCCCCUUCCCGGGAACCCCUUUCCCAUAUCCAAGAGACUGCCAUUUGUUUCCUGUCAUCUCUCCUGUUUUAUUCAUUUAUUUAUAGUCUAGGUUUCUCAUAUGAAGAAAACCAUGAGAUAUUUAACUUUCUGUAUCUGACUUACUUUACUGACUGACUUGUCUGAUGCUCUCAAGUUCUAUCGAUUUUCCUGCCAAUGACAUUAUUUCAUUUUUUACUUUUUUUCUCAGUGUAUGGUUUCAAUGCAUAGUAACUACAUAUAUAUUUCAUAUUUUGAUCAUUUAAAUCCCCUCCCUCCUCAUUCUCCCUGAUCCCCCAUCCUCAGAUCCCUUCCCAAACUCCCUGUUUCCUCCCAUCUC